rnacentral:rRNA from 1 species
AGUGAACGCUGGCGGUAGGCCUAACACAUGCAAGUCGAACGGCAGCACAGUAAGAGCUUGCUCUUACGGGUGGCGAGUGGCGGACGGGUGAGGAAUACAUCGGAAUCUACUUUUUCGUGGGGGAUAACGUAGGGAAACUUACGCUAAUACCGCAUACGACCUACGGGUGAAAGCAGGGGAUCUUCGGACCUUGCGCGAUUGAAUGAGCCGAUGUCGGAUUAGCUAGUUGGCGGGGUAAAGGCCCACCAAGGCGACGAUCCGUAGCUGGUCUGAGAGGAUGAUCAGCCACACUGGAACUGGAACACGGUCCAGACUCCUACGGGAGGCAGCAGUGGGGAAUAUUGGACAAUGGGCGCAAGCCUGAUCCAGCCAUACCGCGUGGGUGAAGAAGGCCUUCGGGUUGUAAAGCCCUUUUGUUGGGAAAGAAAAGCAGCAGGUUAAUACCCCGCGGUUCUGACGGUACCCAAAGAGUAAGCACCGGCUAACUUCGUG